rnacentral:rRNA from 2 species
UCGAGAAUCUUCGGCAAUGGGCGCAAGCCUGACCGAGCGACGCCGCGUGGAGGAUGAAGGCCCUCGGGUUGUAAACUCCUGUCGAGGGGGAGGAAGGCGCAAGCUUGACCGAUCCCUGGAGGAAGCACGGGCUAAGUUCGUGCCAGCAGCCGCGGUAAGACGAACCGUGCGAACGUUAUUCGGAAUCACUGGGCUGAAAGCGCGUGUAGGCGGAUGGCCGCGUCGGCCUCUGAAAUCCCCCGGCUCAACCGGGGAAGUGGAGCCGGUACGGGCCGUCUGGAGGAACGUAGGGGGACCUGGAACUUCCGGUGGAGCGGUGAAAUGCGUUGAGAUCGGAAGGAACGCCCGUGGCGAAAGCGAGGUCCUGGACGUUUACUGACGCUGAGACGCGAAAGCCAGGGGAGCGAACGGG